GAUGAACGCUGGCGGCGUGCUUAACACAUGCAAGUCGAACGGAAAGGCGAUGCUUUUGUGGGGUGCUCGAGUGGGGAGCGGGUGAGUAACACGUGAGUAACCUGCCCUUGAAUUUGGGAGAACAUCAGGAAACUGGGGCUAAUACAGGAUAGGAGCUCCUGCUGCAUGGUGGGGGUUGGAAAGAUUCGGCGGUUGGGGAUGGAAUCGCGGCUUAUCAGCUUGUUGGUGGGGUAGUGGCUUACCAAGGCUGUGACGGGUAGCCGGCCUGAGAGGGUGACCGGCCACAUUGGGACUGAGAUACGGCCCAGACUCCUACGGGAGGCAGCAGUGGGGAAUAUUGCACAAUGGGCGGAAGCCUGAUGCAGCAACGCCGCGUGCGGGAUGACGGCCUUCGGGUUGUAAACCGCUUUCGCCUGUGACGAAGCGUGAGUGACGGUAAUGGGUAAAGAAGCACCGGCUAACUACGUG
rnacentral:rRNA from 1 species